CCUAGAUCUUAUAAAAUCACAUGGAAGAAAUGACGGCUGAGGUCUGGAAAGCUUUUCUGACUCUACAGAUUAGUUUUUGAAUGUCGGUCAAAUGUAUUUAGUAUAUAUAGUGUGCAUAGUGGUGUAUUCUGGCCUAGGCUGACGAAGGCCAACGCGGCAGGGAGCCAUGGGCCAGUUGAGGAGAUCACUGAUCUCCUCAACUGGCCCAUUAACACCAUGGAGGACUUUACUGCGUUAACUCAGUCCUUCAUAGUUUACUUCAGCUCGUUGCGUCACGACUGAAAAACGUGGAGCGCCAUCAUAUGAUGUCAUAUCCCGCUGCUCACCAGUAAGGACAGCAGCCAGGAGGAGACAGCUGAUGGACCUGCCCUGGAUCAGGCCUAGGGUAGCGCCAAAGUUUAAUACGGCACUGUAUGUAUUUAUAGAACAUUAACUAUACAACAUUUUUAUUUAUAAUCACAAUAAUAUUUUUUGAGCCUGGGAUCACAAAGUGCGGUAAAAUAUAUUUUAAAAUCUAGAGAAGUAUUUUCUUUCCACCAUAAGAAUGUUGAGGAUAUCGAGGAUGUCAGAAAAAAGAAGUGUAUAAAACAAGGUCAGCUCGAAAACAUACAUGCAUGUGUACUAUUUUUUUUCUUAGCCUUAAGCUGAUUUAGCAAUUGUUCUCUUAAAAAAAAAAAAAAAAGAUUUAGUAAGUUGAUAAAAUCAGAACGACUCCUUUUUUCCUGAAACGACCACACAUUUUUCCGCCAACUUUUUUUAAAAGAAUAGAUGAUUCGUUUUCUUCAUCUACGGCCUUAGGGGUUUUUAAUAAUCAUUUUCUGUUAAACCAAAUCUUUCAAAAGAAAGAGUAUCCCGGACGGCACAACGUUCUAGAUUUUUAUAACGUUAUUUUUAUAUAGCCAAUUUGUCUGUUGACAUUCCUGGGUUCUAAGUUCCAAGCGAGGUAAGGUCUAGUCCAGCGAGACAUUGCCGUGUGCAAUCUCGAAGGCUAAAAGCAUUCUUAA